GUUCAAGUCAGAAGUGAGACAGCGUGGACCCAGUGUUUCAGGCCAGCUCUCACAAAAGACAAGGCUACCCCAACCCUCUUCUUCAUGGACAACUGCCACAAAAGGCACUGACUCCAGCAUCCUAAAGACACCACAAAUAAAGUGAAAAGAACAAGGCUGGGCAGGACAGAAGCCCUGGGUAGGCUAGCUGUUCCAUUCUAUGUUACCAUCAGCAACGUAUGAGAGAUACAGAAAAUGUGAAUUAAGGAGUCGUGGGCAUCUACUGAACUGAAACACCUGUGAAAAAGAAGGUACCUGGUGUCAGAAGAUGAUGGGGACCCAAGGACCUGGAACUGGUGUUGCCCAAAGUUACACACAUAGUCAUUAAGUUGAAUUACUGUUAUUAACUAGAGUUUAGAAACAAGGACUUCUGCCUCCAAUUAAUUUAUUGUACUGUUUGCAUUCUGUUUCUCUCAUUCAAAAAGUUCCGCAGUGCAAGAGCAUGUUAAGGAUUAUGUGCUUUUUAAUUAGUUGCAUUUUUUCUGCCUAUUUGGACAUUAAGUUCUUGAGCAAAAUGCUCAUUUGGGCAGUAAGUCCAUUAAAAGUCAAGCUGUUCUUUGGA